rnacentral:rRNA from 1 species
CGAACUCAGAAGUGAAACGCCGUAGCGCCGAUGGUAGUGUGGGGUCUCCCCAUGCGAGAGUAGGGAACUGCCAGGCA